AUACGGAGGGUGCAAGCGUUAAUCGGAAUUACUGGGCGUAAAGCGUGCGUAGGCGGUUUGUUAAGUCAGAAGUGAAAGCCCUGGGCUCAACCUGGGAACGGCUUUUGAGACUGGCAGACUCGAGUUGAGUAGAGGGGAGUGGAAUUUCCGGUGUAGCGGUGAAAUGCGUAGAGAUCGGAAGGAACACCAGUGGCGAAGGCGACUCCCUGGACUCAAACUGACGCUGAGGUACGAAAGCGUGGGUAGCAAACAGGAUUAGAUACCCUAGUAGUCC
rnacentral:rRNA from 1 species